AUCUUCUCUCUCAUUUUUCUCUUUUCAUCCUUUUUUUUUUUUUCCUCUCUUAUGUCUCUUUAAUUUCAUAUUUUAAGCUUCAGUUCCAUCAUUUUCUUCUUUUUUUUUUUGGCUAAAUUACAGAAAACUCUUUGUCAAAACCUGAUUUUUCACUUCCCUCCUGUCAUUUAAAAAUCUACACUUUGCCUCCUUAUAAAGUAAAAAAUAUUCACUUCAUCCUCUACCGUUAGUGAUCCGUUAGGUUUCGGUUAUAAGAUAUUUUUUAUGCCAAAAAUAUCCUCCGCCUUCUCUACUGCUGCUUCGCCCUUCUCCGCCUUGCCGCCUCGCCCUUAUCCACUGCCUCGCCUUCACCCACAUCUCCGUUCGAGCCUACAAACACCCCCUCGCUCUCCUCUGCCACCUCGCCUUCGCUCUCGUUGCCCUUGCCCACCUCUUCACCCACGCUCAUCUCAAUUUUCUCCCUAUUGUCACCGAAAUGGAGGAGCGACGAGGGUACAGGAGGAGAAGGGGAGCAGGUGGAGAAGAAAAUAGAGUGGAACCGCAGCUGAUUGAGGCACGAACCGCGAUCGAUCGAGACGGCGAAUGAGCAAGAUGAGGAAAGAGAUAAAAAUGAUGAGGGACAAAAUGGUCAUUUUAUCAUUACAGUUAACACCGUAUCUUCCUGUGAAUAUUUUUUAUUUUACAAUGGGGCAAAGUGUAGGUUUUUAAAUGACAGAGGAGGAAAACGAAAAAUCGGUUUUGACCGAAAGAUUUUAUAUAAUUUAGCCUUUUUUUUUUUUUCCUCUCCUAGCAUAGCACCUAGAUAUUCCUCUCCUAGCAUAGCACCUAGAUAAGGUUGGUGUCUUUAAAUUCUUUUCUUUGAGAAAAGAUAAGGUGGGAGUUAGUAUUGAAAUAGGGUAGUGAAACAAGUAUGAUUAUUCCUCUCUCUCUCUCUCUCUCUCUCUCUCUCUCUCUCUCUCUAAGUUAUUGCCUACAUUCACUGAAUUCCCCCCAUUUUACCAACCACACUCAAUAUGCCCUUCAUUCUAUCUCAUAUUUUUGAUCUAGCUGUUUCUGUGAAACAACCGUUGUGCUCUAAAAAUUUAAGCUGUUAAAAAACGAUGUUUAAACAUUUUUAUAUUUAACACUCCUCUCACGUCUGGGUUCGAGACUUUUUAGUCGGCCCAUGACGUGGGCUUAAAUUAAAUGGGAGGAAAUUAAUAUGCUAAGAGCCUGGCGUGACUCGAACUCAAGACUUCCUGUUUUGAUACCAUGUGAAAUAAUCGUUGUACUCUAAUAGCUUAAGCUUUUAGAGUACAACGGUUGUUUCACAGUUUCAACUUUUAAAUAAGAUUAAAAGAAAAAAAAACUCUAAACUAAUCUAAAAUAUACAU
rnacentral:lncRNA from 1 species